rnacentral:rRNA from 1 species
GCAAGUCGAGCGGAAACGAUGUAGCUUGCUACAGGCGUCGAGCGGCGGACGGGUGAGUAACGCGUAGGAACCUACCUAUUAGUUUGGGAUAGCCAUUGGAAACGAUGAUUAAUACCGGAUCCGCCCUACGGGGGAAAGAGGGCUUCGUCACGCGCUAUUGGAGGGGCCUGCGGGAGAUUAGCUAGUUGGUGAGGUAAGAGCUCACCAAGGCGACGAUCUCUAGCUGGUUUGAGAGGAUGAUC